UACGGGGGGAGCAAGCGUUGUUCGGAUUUACUGGGCGUAAAGGGCGCGUAGGCGGCACCGCAAGUCGACUGUGAAAUCUCCGAGCUUAACUCGGAAAGGUCAACUGAUACUGUGCGGCUAGAGUGCGGAAGGGGCAACUGGAAUUCUUGGUGUAGCGGUGAAAUGCGUAGAUAUCAAGAGGAACACCUGCGGCGAAGGCGGGUUGCUGGGCCGACACUGACGCUGAUGCGCGAAAGCUAGGGGAGCGAACGGG
rnacentral:rRNA from 1 species